GAAGAUGGACGGUUCGGGUACCUUGAACGGGAAGCUGGUCUUCGUCAAAACUGAGAUAGUCAAUCUUUCAAUUUGAGGACAGCAAUAUAAAUACGGGUAGAAUUCUUUCUUCUUCUUCUCUUUUUUUUUUUUUGGAUAAUUGAGAUGUAAAAGUAUAAAUUGCAAUUUUUUAUAAAAACCCUACCUCUAAAUCCCCAAAUUCAGAAACAACUCUUCAAUCAAAAAAAUAAAUAAUUAAAUCAACCAAAAAUUGGUUCAAAGAAUUUAAAAUUGAACAAGAAAUCCCAAAUCCACAAAUUAUUUAUAUCGGGAGAAGAUCAACCCAAUUUUCUUUCAAAAAACAAGAGAAAUCAAGGGAGAAAAAAAAUAAAAUUAAGAUAUAAUAACGAUUAAUUUUACAAAAAGAACUCGGAAUUGAACAGAUCUACAGAAAAUAGAGGAGAUCUGAAACCCUAAAAUCGAAAUUUGAUUUUCAAAACGGCUAUAGCCAAAAAAAGUAUAGAUGGAUAGAGGAGAGAACGAAUUAGACAAACCAAAGAUUGAUUUGAAGGUCGAGAAGAAAAAUCGAGGUCGAUUUGAGGGGAAGAAUAGUAGGGAUUGGAAUUGGGGGAAAUUGGUUGACGAUAAAAAGGUAGACUAAUUUGUUAUUGGCGCGUCCGGAAAUAGUAAAGCGGGUGGUCUAAAAAAUUGCGCCAAAUAGCCGAGCUAGUUUGGUAACUAGAAAAAUAACCGAGGCUAGUAGGCAUUAUAAUUAACGGCUGCAUUUCCAAUUAUGAUUUAUUGCCUAAUUCUUUUUCCAAUAUUUAUUAGUCUGUUACGAAAUAAAAGUAAUUUAGUAAAAUAUGAAUAAGAAAUAAAAAUAAUUAAAUAAAAUAUGAGCAAGUAUAUAGAUAUAGAGAAGGAAGAUAUUUUCUUUUUCUAUUGUGUGUAUUUUUCAUUGCAAUUACAUAGCCUUUUAUAGGCAUAAAAAGUAAAGAUGAUGGACAUAAAAUAGGAGAUUUAAUCUUUAGGCUAUUAACAACAUGAACAUCCAAUGUAGCAUCCAAUAUAGUAUCCAAUGUACAAAUUAUUCAUAACACCCCCCGUUGAUGUCAAGGCUAUUAACAACAUGAGCAUCCAACGUAGUAUCCAAUGUACAAAUUAUUCAUAACAUUCCCCCUUGGAUAUCCAUGUAAGAUAAUGUGUCUCAUUAAGAACUUACAAAAAAUAUUGGGAUAUACAUAGUUAUUUAUAAUAUGCAUUGUUUGCUGCCUCAUUAAAAACCUUACCAGGAAAAUCUAGUGGGACAAAACCUUGGUUAAGGAAAAGAGUGCAUCGUGUAGUUACUCCCCUGAAGAAAAAUCACUUAAUGUCUCGAAGAUGACGCAUUCCAAUCUUAUAUAUCAGCUUUUCAAAUCUUGAGGUUGGUAAUGCCUUAGUGAACAGAUCAACCAAAUUAUCACUUGAACGAACUUGUUGUACAUCUAUUUUCGAGGUUGGUAAUGCCUUAGUGAAUAGAUCAACCAAAUUAUCACUUGAACGAACUUGUUGUACAUCUAUUUUACCAUUCUUCUCAAGAUCAUGGGUAAAAAAGAAUUUCGAUGAAAUAUAUUUUGUUCUAUCUCUUUUGAUAUAUCCUCCUUUCAAUUGAAUUGUGCAUGCAGUAUUGUCUUCAUACAAUAUUGUUGGAAUAUCCUCUUUCGAAGAAAGAUCACAUGUUUACUGAAUGUGUUGAGUUAUCGAUCUCAACCAAACGCAUUAUCGACUUACUUCGUGAAUGACUAUUAUCUCUGCAUGAUUUGAAGAAGUAGAAAUCAUAGUUUAUUUUGUCGAACUCUAUGAUAUGGUUGUGCCUCUGCCUAUAAAUAAAUAGCAUGUCUGAGAUCAAGCCUUUUGUGUGUUGGAUAAAUACCCAGCAUUACAUAACCAACAAGAUCGGAAUUGCAAUCAUUGCCAUAAAAUAAGCCUACAUCGGUAGUCCAUUUUAGAUAACACAAUAUGUGUUUGAUUUCAUUCCAAUGUCUCCUUGUAGGAGUGCCAUAAAAUAAGCUCACAUCGGUAGUCCAUUUUAGAUAACACAAUAUGUGUUUGAUUUCAUUCCAAUGUCUCCUUAUAGAAGUAGAGAUAUAUCUUGCUCAGACAUUAACUGAAAAAGUUAUGUCACGCCUUGUAGUCUUAGCAAGAUACAUUAGUGCAUCAAUCGCACUAAGAUAUUGUACUUCAUGAUCAAGAAGUUCUUCAUUAUUUUCAUGAGGUCGGAAUGAAUCUUUAUUUAUAUCGAGUGAUCACACAACCAUCAGGGUACUCAAUGGAUGUACUUUAUCCAUCUGAGGUCGGAAUGAAUUUUUAUUCAUAUCGAGUUAUCACAUAACCAUCAUGGUACUCAAUGGAUGUACUUUAUCCAUAUAGAAUCGAUUUAAAAUAUUUUCAGUGUAUGUUGAUUUUGGACAAAAAAAAUCAUAUUUCAUAUACUCAAUUUGUUGACCAAGAUAAAAUUUUAUUUUUCUAAGAUCUUUCAUUUCAAAUUCUUUCUUUAAAUAGUCUACUGCUUUAUGAAGCUCCCCGCGAGUUCUAAUGAUAUUUGAAUCAUCAACAUACACAGAGAUUAAAACAAAUUCAAAUCCAAAUCCUUUUAUAAAUACACAAGGACAAAUUGAAUUAUUCUUGUACCGUUCUUUCAAUAAGUAUUUUCUCGGGCGAUACCACAUGCGCCCUAAUUGUGUCAUCAGUAUAAGGAUUAUUGAAGCCUUAUUUAAUAAAUUUCUUGGAAAUCAUCAUAUGCUUCAGAACAAUUUAAGUCCUUCAAUGAUUUCCAUUAUACGCAUAUCAAAAAAUUUCUUUUAUUUAUAUAUUUCCAGAUUAAAUCCUGAAAUGACUACAUCCAUCACAAGAGAACAUGUCUCUAUAUAAUCAAUACCAGAAUAUUUUCAAUCUUCUUGUAACAUAAGUCGUCUUUAUGUCUAUCGAAUUGACCUUUUUCACACAAGAAUAUAUUUAUGCCUCCAUUGGCUUUAUAUUUUCAUGUGUUGGGACUAUACGUCCAACUUUAUAUUUUUCAUGUGAAAUCAAUCUUGAUUGCGUAUUUUAUUUUCUUUUGGUCAAUCAUUUAUCUGUCCAAAUUUUAUGACAGACUUGAGCUUAAAAUCCUCGCCAAUAUUAAUAAUAUUGAGUGCUAUAUUAUAUUAACAAUAUCGUCGACGAUCACUUUAUGUCGGUUCCAUUAUUACCUAAUAGAGACAUAACUUAUUGAGAUCUCUUUAUCUCAUUAUUUCAGGUACCUGAGCCUCUCCCAUGACUUCUUAUGAAGUGUUAUGUCGUGGUGCUCUUCUAGAGUACUUGCCUCCUUAUAUUGACCAUCUUGAACAUUUGUCCCUCUCAUUUUUCAAGGAGUUUUAUCUUUGGAACCGAUUGGUCUGUUACGCUUCAUGCAUGACAUAGACCAUGUCCCUUGUAGACUUUAUUCUAUUUGGAGCAUUAGCAACUGAAAUAUGACAUUUAGCUUUGGGUCAGCAAAUGCAUCUGGCAAUAAUUUGUAAAUGAAUUAUCACUUGAACUUCAAGUUCAUAUUUUCUUGUACGAGAAUCUAUAAUUCAAACUAAUUCAUUUCACAUAUCACUUUCUAAGCUGUUCAUUCU
rnacentral:lncRNA from 1 species